AGAGUAAGCAUCUGAGUCCUAGGGCUGAGGAAGGGAGUGGCCAGAAUUGGUCUUAGCUGGGAGGGGAGAUAGAGACCAAGGCAACAACACCCAAAUUGGACCACAGAAAAGUUGUAAUUCCCAAAGACAACUUCUAAUGUUUCGGUGGGUACUUAAGUUACAAGUAUCAGCAUUUUCACGAGAAAACGAAGCCUCAACCAGGGGCUCCAAGCAAAUGAAGAAGGAGUAAGGGAAUGUGCCUGACUGGAUUGCAAAACCUUUUCAAAAUCAGGUGCUCAGUGACAGCUAAAGGUGUCUUCCUUCAUAGCCUUUGGCCCUGGCUUGUGUGCAGACUCAGAUAAGAGGAAGAGUCAGCAAAGGCAAAGCGCCUUCCUGUGCAGGCAGGCCUCCCUCAGGAGCUCUCCCCGCCCCUUCCUCCCUUCCCUCAGGCAGGGGCCCGCCCGCUCGAGGCUCGCUCCCCGGCC
rnacentral:lncRNA from 1 species